GAGUCAUUGGGACUCUAUUAAACCUAAAGGCGCAAUGAAAGUAAAGGUCCGCCUCGCGCGGACCGAGGGAGGAUGGGUCCGUCCGCGGACGGGCCCCGCACUCCCGGGGCGUCUCGUUCUCAUCGCGAGAAGAGGCGCACCCAGAGCGUACACGCUGGGACCCGAAAGAUGGUGAACUAUGCCUGGUCAGGACGAAGUCAGGGGAAACCCUGAUGGAGGUCCGUAGCGAUUCUGACGUGCAAAUCGAUCGUCGGAACUGGGUAUAGG
rnacentral:rRNA from 1 species